AAAGCGCAUCGGGGGAGUCGAAUAAAAGCGACUGAGAGGAGGUAACCAACCUCGACCCCUGGAACCUGAUCCGGGUCAUACCGGCGCAGGGAAGGUGCGCCCUUUCGACA
rnacentral:ncRNA from 2 species